rnacentral:misc_RNA from 1 species
GUACUUCCUUUGAGAAAUAAAAAUCCCUAUGUCUGAUUCGGCAACUUCUAUUCCAAAGAAGUACCUUAACCUACCCACGCCUUUAAUCUCAAAUUGUGUUGUUAUGUGCUGCAAACCUUGAUGAGACCUACAGCACUUUGAUGUGAAGAAUGCUUUUCUGCAUGAAGAUUUGGAAAAAGAAGUAUAUAUGGAGAUCCCUCUAGUGUUUGAGGGUGAAAAAGCCAAAGGAAAAGCAAUCACCAAUAGCCUGGUUUGAUAGAUUUAGUAAGGCCAUGAUUUCCUUUGGGUUUUAUCAAAAUAAUGUCAAUCAUACCCUAUCCAUGAAACACCGUAUAGGUAAGAUCACAUUGCUCAUUGUUUAUUUUGAUGAUAUAGUAGUGACAGGAGAUGGCAAGAAAGAGAUUGCUCAUCUAAAAGAGCGAUUGGCUCGAGAAUUUGAGAUUAAAGACUUGGGCG